GUUCCCCGCCCUGUGUCCAAGCGUUCUCACUGUUCAAUUCCCACCUAUGAGUGAGAACAUGCGGUGUUUGGUUUUCUGUCCUUGUGAUAGUUUGCUCAGAAUGAUGGUUUCUAGCUUCAUCCAUGUUGCCACAAACGACAUGAACUCAUCCUUUUUUAUGGCUGCAUAGUAUUCCAUGGUGUAUAUGUGCCACAUUUUUUUUAAUCCAGUCUAUCAUUGAUGGAUAUUUGGGUUGGUUCCAAGUCUUUGCUAUUGUUAAUAGUGCCACAAUAAACAUACGUGUGCAUGUGUCUUUAUAGUAGCAUGAUUUACAAUCCUUUGGGUAUAUACCCAGUAAUGGGAUGGCUGGGUCAAAUGGUAUUUCUAGUUCUAGAUCCUUGAGGAAUUGCCACACUGUCUUCCACAAUGGUUGAACUAGUUUAUAGUCCCACCAACAGUGUAAAAGUGUUCCUAUUUCUCCACAUCCUCUCCAGCACCUGUUGUUUCCUGACUUUUUAAUGAUCGCCAUUCUAACUGGUGUGAGAUGGUAUCUCAUUGUGGUUUUGAUUUGCAUGACUCUCUCACUUUUUUUAAAAGAUGUACUCAUGAGAGCUCUCAUGGCUUCUCUGAUUUGAUUUUUUAAAUUUCUUUUACUUAUUUUUUAAUUGACAAAUAAAAUUUGUAUAUAUUUAUCAUGUACAACACCGGGUUCUGAGAUAUGUAUAAAUUUUGGAAUAGUUAAAUUGAGCUAAGUGACAUGUGCAUUACCUCACACACUUAUGUUUUUGUGGUAAGAACACUUAAAAUCUACUCUCUCAGUGAUUUUCAAGAAUACAAUACAUUGUUAUUGACUGUAGUCACUAUCGCCAUGUUUUACAGUAGACCUCUUGAACUUGUUCCUCUAGUCAGACUGAAAAUUUGUACCCUUUGACCAAUAUCUCUCAACAACCCCCCUGCCCCAGCCUCUGGUAACCACCAUUCUGCUCUACUUCGUUCAACUUUUUUAGAUUCCACAUAGAAGUGAGAUCGUGCAGCGUUUGUCUUUCUGUGCCUGGCUUACUUCACUUAGCAUAAUGUCCUCCAGGUUCAUUCAAGUUGUGGCAAAUGACAGGAUUUUCUCUUUUUUAAGGCUGAAUAGUAUUCCAUGAUGCAUAUGUGAUACAUAUUCUUUAUCCAUUCAUCUGUUGAUGGACACUUAAUUUGAUUGCACAUCUUGGCUACUGUGAAUAAUCCUGUUUAAACAUGGGAGUAUAGAUAUCUCUUCAACAUCCUGAUUUCAUUUCCUUUGGAUCUAUACCCAGAAGUAGGAUUGCGAGAUCAUAUGGUAGCUCUAUUUUUAAUUUUUUUGAGCAACCUCCAUACUGUUUUCCAUAAUGGCUACACUAAUUUACAUUCUCACCAACAGUGUGCAAGGGUUCCCUUUUUUCACAUCCUCACCAACACUUGUUAUCUUUUAUCCUUCUGAUAAUAGUCAUUCAAAUAAGUGUGAGGUAAUAUCUCAUUGUGGUUUUAAUUUGCAUUUCUCUAAGGAUUAGUUCAUUUGAUUUUCAUAAACAGCUUUGUUGAGAUAAAAUUCACUUACUGUACAAUUCACCCUCUUGAAGUAUACAAUUUAAUGGCUUUUAAUAUAUUCACAGAGUUAUGCAUCCAUCACCACAAUCAAUUUUACAACAUUUUCAUUACUCUCCAAAAAGACCCACAUGCCUUAGCCAUCACCCCCAACCGCCUCCUACUCCCUCCCAGUCCUGUUUUCUAUCUGUGUAGAUUUGCCUAUUUCAGACACUUCAUAAAAAUAAAAUCAUACAAUAUGUAGUCCUUUGUGACUAGCUUCUUCCACAUAAAAAAUGUUUUCAAGGUUCAUUCAUUUUGUAUCAAGUAUCAGAUCUUCAUUCUUUUUAUUGCCAAACGGUAUUUCAUUAUAUGGAUGUACAACAUUGUACGUAUCCAUCCAUCAGUUGAUGGACAUUUGUGUUGUUUCCACUUUUAGCUAUUAUGAAUAACGUUGCUAUGAACAUUGAUAUACAAGUUUUUGUGUGGACAUAUGUUUUCAUUUCUCUUUGGUAUAAAUGUAGGAGUGGAGUUGCUGGAUCACAUAGUAACUAUUUUUAACUGUUUGAGAAACUGUCAGACUCUUUUCUUACUUCUUAAGUGGCUACUAGUCAUCACAUAGUUCUGCCACUGACCAUGUUUAAAGGAUUUCGCUCUAUAACGAGUACCUCAAGAUGGAUCCAUCUGUGGUCUGCAAUUUUCUUUUAAAUUUAUGCCAUCCCUACCCUGCACACCACCUCCCCCCCCCAUCAUUUUUAGUGUUUUUCCUGGAUUAAAGAGCGGUAUGGAAAAGUUUCUUCACCCUAUUUUCAGAAACAGACAUUAUGAUGUACUCCCCACUCUACUGCACAACUGGAUAUGGCAAGAGCUUUCCAAGGACUUUUGGGAGGCAAACUGUCUGGGAGUCCAGUGUUGAGCUGGAUAGACUUAUAACCAAUACCUAGCUCCUUAGGGCCCAUGUCAUGGCCAUACUGCUUGAGUUUCCUGGCCCAUCCAUCCCUACAUGGUGACGGACCAUCUUGUCCCCAUUUCUGUCUACUCACAGAAUCAACACUGGCCACGGCUUCCCUCAUUACAGUCCUUUCAGAAGAUGCAGGGCAAGAGGAGGGGAAAGCCAUAGGAAGGGUUGGGGCACUGCCCCUCCUGUUUUCCAAGGCACUUUCUCCCUGCUUAUGCAGUUAUUCCCUGGCUAAAUGUAGUGUUCACUCCACCUUCUAUUGCUGCCAUCAGUGCAAGUUGACAAGAACUUUGGGAUCCCUGGGGUCUGAAAAACAGAUGGCCCUAAUGAAGUGAUGCAGAAUCUCAUCACUGAGUGACACAGAGACCAUUUCUACUUAACAGUAGGAACUUUCCUAUGUUUGAUCUCUGUGCUCAAGGCUCAGCUUACCAAGAAGUCUGAGUUGCUUCUACAAAGGUAGAGCUAAUAUUUCUUAAUCACCUUGCUUUGACAGGUAUUAACUCCUUUUAGCCUGAGGCCUCUGAAGUAACUGCUAUGAUUAUCCCUGCUAUGAUUAAAACGAGGAGAUAAAUGCAAAGAAGGGACAAGUAAGUUGCCUAAGAACACAUGACUAGCAAUAAAAGCAACAUCACGGGCCGGGCACGGUGGCUCACGCCUGUAAUCCCAGCACUUUGGGAGGCCGAGGCAGGCGGAUCAUGAGGUCAGGAGAUCGAAACCAUCCUGGCUAACACGGUGAAAUCCCGUCUCUACUAAAAAAUACAAAAAAAUUAGCCAGGCGUGGUGGUGGGUGCCUGUAGUCCCAGCUACUCGGGAGGCUGAGGCAGGAGAAUGGCGUGAACCUGGGAGGCAGAGCUUGCAGUGAGCCAAGAUCACGCCACUGCACUCCAGCCUGGCA
rnacentral:lncRNA from 10 species